rnacentral:hammerhead_ribozyme from 1 species
AUCCAGCUGACGAGUCGCAAAUAAGAUGAAACAUGCAUUCUGAAU